rnacentral:tRNA from 1 species
GAGGGUACAGCACAGUGGUAGAGUGCGUGCCUGGCAUGCAUGCGGUCCUGGAUUUAAUCCCCAGUACCUAUCA